UACGUAGGGGGCAAGCGUUGUCCGGAAUUACUGGGCGUAAAGCGUGCGUAGGUGGUUUGUUAAGUCUGUUGUGAAAGCCCCGGGCUCAACCUGGGAAUGGCAAUGGAUACUGGCAAGCUAGAGUGCGGUAGAGGGUAGUGGAAUUCCCGGUGUAGCGGUGAAAUGCGUAGAGAUCGGGAGGAACACCAGUGGCGAAGGCGGCUACCUGGACCAGCACUGACACUGAGGCACGAAAGCGUGGGGAGCAAACAGG
rnacentral:rRNA from 1 species